rnacentral:rRNA from 1 species
GACAGAGGGUGCAAACGUUGUUCGGAAUUACUGGGCGUAAAGCGUGUGUAGGCGGCUUGGCAAGUCGGAUGUGAAAGCCCCGGGCUCAACCCGGGAAGUGCACUCGAUACUGCCGAGCUUGAGUAUCGGAGAGGUGGGUGGAAUUCUCGGUGUAGAGGUGAAAUUCGUAGAUAUCGAAGAGGAACACCGGCGGCGAAGGCGGCCCACUGGACGAAUACUGACGCUGAGACACGAAAGCGUGGGGAGCAAACAGG